CCUACGGGAGGCAGCAGUGAGGAAUAUUGGUCAAUGGGCGCGAGCCUGAACCAGCCAAGUCGCGUGAGGGAGGACGGCCCUACGGGUUGUAAACCUCUUUUGCCGGGGAGCAACGGGCGCCACGUGUUGCGUCACUGAGAGUACCCGGAGAAAAAGCAUCGGCUAACUCCGUGCCAGCAGCCGCGGUACUACGGAGGAUGCGAGCGUUAUCCGGAUUUAUUGGGUUUAAAGGGUGCGUAGGCGGCGCUUUAAGUCAGUGGUAAAAUUGAGGGGCUCAACCCCUUCCCGCCAUUGAAACUGGCGUUCUUGAGUGGAAGAGAAGUAUGCGGAAUGCGUGGUGUAGCGGUGAAAUGCAUAGAUAUCACGCAGAACCCCGAUUGCGAAGGCAGCAUGCCGGCUUCCGACUGACGCUGAAGCACGAAAGCGUGGGGAUCGAACAGGAUUAGAUAUCCUUGUAGUC
rnacentral:rRNA from 1 species